AUUGAACGCUGGCGGCAUGCCUUACACAUGCAAGUCGAACGGUAACAGGUCUUCGGAUGCUGACGAGUGGCGAACGGGUGAGUAAUACAUCGGAACGUGCCCGAGAGUGGGGGAUAACGAGGCGAAAGCUUUGCUAAUACCGCAUACGAUCUCCGGAUGAAAGCAGGGGACCGCAAGGCCUUGCGCUCACGGCGCUGCCGAUGGCAGAUUAGGUAGUUGGUGGGAUAAAAGCUUACCAAGCCGACGAUCUGUAGCUGGUCUGAGAGGACGACCAGCCACACUGGGACUGAGACACGGCCCAGACUCCUACGGGAGGCAGCAGUGGGGAAUUUUGGACAAUGGGCGCAAGCCUGAUCCAGCCAUGCCGCGUGCAGGAUGAAGGCCUUCGGGUUGUAAACUGCUUUUGUACGGAACGAAAAGACUCUUUCUAAUAAAGGGGGUCCAUGACGGUACCGUAAGAAUAAGCACCGGCUAACUACGUGCCAGCCGCCGCCGUAACAC
rnacentral:rRNA from 1 species